rnacentral:rRNA from 1 species
CAAUAGCGUAUAUUAAAGUUGUUGCAGUUAAAAAGCUCGUAGUUGGAUUUCGGGGUGGCCUGGCUGGUCCGCCGCAAGGUGAGUACUGGUCAGCCGCCCUUCCUCUCGAAAGCCCCGACUGCUCUUUACUGCAGUGGUCGGGUAGUUCGGGACGUUUACUUUGAAAAAAUUAGAGUGUUCAAGGCAGGCUAUCGCCUGAAUACAUUAGCAUGGAAUAAUGGAAGAGGACCUCGGUCCUAUUUUGUUGGUUUCUAGGGCCGAAGUAAUGAUUAAGAGGGACAGUUGGGGGCAUUCGUAUUUAAUUGUCAGAGGUGAAGUUCUUGGAUUUAUGAAAGACGAACUAGUGCGAAAGCAUUUGCCAAGGAUGUUUUCAUUAA